rnacentral:rRNA from 1 species
GAUGAACGCUAGCGGCAGGCUUAACACAUGCAAGUCGAGGGGUAUAGUAGCAAUACUAGAGACCGGCGCACGGGUGCGUAACGCGUAUGCAACCUACCUUUUACAGAGGGAUAGCCCCAGAGAAAUUUGGAUUAAUACCUCAUAGUAUAGCAGUUUCGCAUGAAACCACUAUUAAAGUUCCAACGGUGAAAGAUGAGCAUGCGUCCCAUUAGCUAGAUGGUAAGGUAACGGCUUACCAUGGCUACGAUGGGUAGGGGUCCUGAGAGGGAGACUCCCCCACACUGGUACUGAGACACGGACCAGACUCCGUACGGGAGGCAGCAGUGAGGAA